CCUACGGGAGGCAGCAGUGAGGAAUAUUGGUCAAUGGACGAGAGUCUGAACCAGCCAAGUAGCGUGAAGGAUGACUGCUCUAUGGGUUGUAAACUUCUUUUAUAUGGGAAUAAAAUGUUCCACGUGUGGGAUUUUGUAUGUAUCAUAUGAAUAAGGAUCGCCUAACUCCGUGCCAGCAGCCGCGGUAAUACGGAGGAUCCGAGCGUUAUCCGGAUUUAUUGGGUGUAAAGGGAGCGUAGGGGGAUUGGGAAGGCAGUUGUGAAAGUUUGCGGCUCAACCGUAAAAUUGCAGUGGAAACUGGCAGUCUUGAGUACAGUAGAGGUGAGCGGAAUUCGUGGUGUAGCGGUGAAAUGCUGAGAUAUCACGAAGAACUCCGAUUGCGAAGGCAGUUCACUGGACUGCAACUGACACUGAGGCUCGAAAGUGUGGGUAUCAAACAGGAUUAGAUACCCGAGUAGUC
rnacentral:rRNA from 1 species